AUUGAACGCUGGCGGCAUGCCUUACACAUGCAAGUCGAACGGCAGCACGGGUGCUUGCCCCUGGUGGCGAGUGGCGAACGGGUGAGUAAUACAUCGGAACAUGUCCUGUAGUGGGGGAUAGCCCGGCGAAAGCCGGAUUAAUACCGCAUACGAUCUACGGAUGACAGCGGGGGACCUUCGGGCCUCGCGCUAUAGGGUUGGCCGAUAGCUGAUUAGCUAGUUGGUGGGGUAAAGGCCUACCAAGGCGACGAUCAGUAGCUGGUCUGAGAGGACGACCAGCCACACUGGGACUGAGACACGGCCCAGACUCCUACGGGAGGCAGCAGUGGGGAAUUUUGGACAAUGGGCGAAAGCCUGAUCCAGCAAUGCCGCGUGUGUGAAGAAGGCCUUCGGGUUGUAAAGCACUUUUGUCCGGAAAGAAAUCCUUGGCUCUAAUACAGUCGGGGGAUGACGGUACCGGAAGAAUAAGCACCGGCUAACUACGUG
rnacentral:rRNA from 1 species